UACCGCUACAUUAGAUAUUACCGCCGCUGGCCUGGGGGUCUGGAAAUCCCGCAAGCUGCUGCGCUGUUCCGGCCCAGUCUCUGAGGUCAGGUUCAAAACUCGAUGUCUAAGGUCCUCCAUUCUGAUUUUAAAUUUAUCUCCCAAAUUUCUCUUAUUCCAGAUUAGGGCCUUGGUGACAGCCUCCUGCACACGAUCAGUGGGCUGGCCCUGGCGGUAUUCAUCAUCCAAAUAUUCCAGACUGUUUUGCUCGCGGAGACCGCUUGCCGAACUCUUCCCGACUGGGCAACGAUUUUCCAGUUUCGCUAUCUCUGUAGCUUCUUCAGGGAAAGAGAUCUAAUUCUCAUCGGUUAGGGUUUUUAAGGGGUAGGUUGAUGUUCCUCCCUUUCUGGGUGGAGCUUCCCAUGUGCUCGGUCCUAGGACCGGUCACUUUGGUUGGGCUCUACCUGUUCUUUGUUUGGACUGGUCGGUCCACUUCCAUUGUUUGUAAUGUUAUCAAAUGUAUCUGGUAUCUUGUAUCAUUUGCUGCUAGUGUUUUCAGCCUCUCUUGAUCAAUAAAUGUCCAAAUUCCUCUUGUCCACUAUCAUGUUUUGCAAGUCCUUAAGUUAUGUAUGUGCUCUGCCAACCUGUUUGUAGUCUGUGUGGCGUCAAAGGCUCUUCUGGGUAGGGGGUCCUGGCUGGGAUAGGGGUGGGUAUGGUGUUGUGGACGUGUCGGGGUCUCUUCCCUCUCUUUUGUAGCCUGUCUGGUUUAUGGGGGAGUUUGGUAGGUUCUUCGUAUACUAGCUGCUGGGGGGGGGGGGGGUUUCUCUGGGUUCGGGGGUAUUUUUUUGGGGUUGUUUGGUGGGGAUUCAGUGGGGUCUGUUGUAAGGUUUAGGUUGUAGGGUGGGGGGGGGUUUAUCAGUUGUUUGGGGGGAUGUUUUGGGUUGUUCGGGGUGUUUUUAGGGUU